CACAGAUAGACUCUGUUGUGAAGCAGAGAGAAGAUGAAUUCAGGAUUGGUUUUUUUUCUUUGUCUUUUUUAAAAAGACACCAACCUUUUAACACCACAUUCAAAGCCUACUAUUCAUCUCACCUAAAAUUUUGACAACUAUUCUAAAAUUUAAUAACGAGUUAUUGAAAUGCCUAAAUCUUCCUUUAGGUGAGAAGAAAUGGCAACUUCAGACAGAGAAUUUUUCUACUUAUCCUGAACAUCAAAUGUCUCUGAGAAAUAGUUUUCUUGGCUGUAAAAGGGCUUUUUACAUAGCGAGUUUCAAAUGGAUUCGUAAACUUCAGAUGGUUGGAACAGGUUUUGUCAUUGCUGAAGGAAGGGCAGUUUUCUAGGAGUAUACCAGAAUAAGUAUAUGAUAGCUCUGGAAGAGCAGUCAAUCUGAAGUAUCUUCUGAGUUCUGCUUUGUAAUCACAAGACCACCUGGAUGCCCCUACCAAAGGCUGACAGAACCAUGUAGAAGUUCUACUUCAAUGCCAAGCCUCCCUCUGCCAACACAUAGGAAUCAAUAACACGUGCCUCACAAAGUAAACUUUCAGAGGAAAGGAAAAGGUAGAAAAAAUGAAAAAUCAGUGACCCUGAAGUCAUAUUAUUGCAUCCUGGAAUAGUACAUUUUGCUGCUACAUAAAAAACUAUUUUUAA